rnacentral:rRNA from 1 species
AGCCGUCGCGGUUAGACGAAGAAUCUAAAUAGAACAAUUGUUUACUAGUUACGUUGAUUUUUAAAGUAAUAUUUUCUUUUUUGUUGGGUGAAAUCAAAAUAAAAGGUGAUAACUUCUGUAAAAAUUUAAAGGAACUACAAAACUUAGGUUAAAAACCAGGAUUAGAUACCCUGUUAUUCUAAGCUAACCAAAAAUAGGGUAGUAAAAGUUGUUCUUCAAACCCAAAGAUUUUGGCGGCACUUUAUCCAAAUAGAGGAGCUUGCCCUGUAAUCGAUAGUCCUCGUUUUAUCUUGCCCUAUCUUGUUAAGCUUGUAUACCGCCGUUGUCAGAUUACUUUUGAAGAAUGUUUUCGAGAAAUAAAAUUUUUUAACUUCAGGUCAAGGUGCAGUUAAUGGUAGGGUAGAGGUGAGCUACAUUUUUUAUUAAAAACACGGAUCUUAAGUGUAAUUUUAAGGGAAGGUGGAUUUAUUAGUAAAUUAAUUUAAGUAUAAUUAGUUGAAUUAGGUAAUAAAGUGUGCACAUAUCGCCCGUCACUCUCUUCUCAAGAGGAGAUAAGUCGUAACAAA